ACAAUGCGGGACUAUCAGUCUUGCAAUUGGAUUGAGAACAAUGUACAACUCUUAUCGAUAAGCCAUUGGAGGGCAAGUCUGGUGCCAGCAGCCGCGGUAAUUCCAGCUCCAAUAGCGUAUAUUAACGUUGUUGCAGUUAAAAAGCUCGUAGUUGAAGUGUGGGUGAUCGCUGUUGUGAGACUUCGGUCUCUCGACAGUAAGUCACCCCCUUCCAGUAUCCAGUAGUGGGUAUUCACUUACUUACUACUGUGUGUUGGUCCUUUACUGUGAGAAAAUUAGAGUGUUCAAAGCAGGCGUUUGCUUGAAUAGAUUAGCAUGGAAUAAUAAUUGAAGGCUUUCGUGUUCGAUUUGAUUGGUUUGUUCAUGGAAGCAAGGUUAAAAGGAACAGUUGGGGGUAUUCAUAUUCACUAGUUAGAGGUGAAAUUCUCGGAUUUAUGGAAGAUGAACAAGUGCGAAAGCA
rnacentral:rRNA from 1 species